UCUAAUGUGGCAGAAUAGUGCAGUGGACUUAAGCCCCAAUUAUAAAGAUUCUUCUUUCUUUAGAA
rnacentral:tRNA from 1 species